GCUUGCUUGGUGUAGCGGUUAUACCUUAUGAUUUUUCUGUAAUGAUUAUCAUAAUGUUCCUUGUUCAAAUCCGGUUGCAGCCA